rnacentral:rRNA from 1 species
UACAGAGGGGGCAAGCGUUAUUCGGAAUUAUUGGGCGUAAAGGGCGCGUAGGCGGCCAUUCAAGUGACGGGUGAAAGCCCUCGGCUUAACCGAGGAACUGCCUGUCAGACUGGAUGGCUUGAGACCGGGAGAGGUGAGUGGAAUUCCCAGUGUAGCGGUGAAAUGCGUAGAUAUUGGGAGGAACACCAGUGGCGAAGGCGGCUCACUGGACCGGAACUGACGCUGAGACGCGAAAGCGUGGGGAGCAAACAGG